UACUAGAGUAGCACUCGCAUAUCAAUAAGCGGAGGAAAAGAAACUAACUAGGAUUCCCUUAGUAACGGCGAGUGAAGCGGGAAGAGCUCAAAUUUGAAAUCUUCAAGGUUUUACCUUGACGAAUUGUAGUUUAAAGAAGUGUUUUCUGUUGAAGUUUUGGUAAAAGUUCUUUGGAAUAGGACAUCAUAGAGGGUGAGAAUCCCGUAUUUGACCAUUAUUUUCAGCUGUGUGAUACACUUUCAAAGAGUCGGAUUGUUUGGGAAUGCAGUCCAAAAUGGGUGGUAAAUUUCAUCUAAAGCUAAAUAUUGGCGAGAGACCGAUAGCGAACAAGUACCGUGAGGGAAAGAUGAAAAGAACUUUGAAAAGAGAGUUAAACAGUACGUGAAAUUGUCAAAAGGGAAGCGUUUGACACCAGUGUUGUUUCUCGAAAAUCAAUUAAAAAAGGCCGGAUUUUGUGUUGUAUUGACCUUAAAAGCUUUCUUCACUCUUUUCUUGUCUUUUUUAAUGCACUUUUCGCUUAACAAGUCAACAUCAGUUUCUUUUGUUGUAAAAGGGUCAUUGGAAGGUGGCUUUCUUUUCGGAGAAAGUGUUUAUAGCCUUUGAUCUCUGCAACCGGAGAGACUGAGGUCUGCAGCGUAGACUCUUCGGGGUUAGAUACAUUUGUGCUAAGCUAUAGCUUUUUAUAGACAACUUGUUGACUAUAUUUAGUCUUGUGGCUUACUCGCUUAUGCUAUUUUACCUACGCUUAGGAUGUUGAUAGUCACAGCGUGUAC
rnacentral:rRNA from 1 species